rnacentral:rRNA from 1 species
UACGUAGGAGGCAAGCGUUGUCCGGAAUUACUGGGUGUAAAGCGCGUGUAGGUGGUGGGCCAAGUCUGUGGUGAAAUCGCCCGGCUCAACUGGGCGGGGUCCGUGGAAACUGGUCGACUGGAGGACGGUAGAGGCGAGUGGAAUUCCCGGUGUAGUGGUGAAAUGCGUAGAGAUCGGGAGGAACACCAGUGGCGAAGGCGGCUCGCUGGGCCGGUCCUGACGCUGAGGCACGAAAGCGUGGGGAGCAAACAGG